rnacentral:rRNA from 1 species
GAUGAACGCUAGCGGCAGGCCUAAUACAUGCAAGUCGGACGGGAUUUGGGAGCUUGCUCCUAAUGAGAGCGGCGCACGGGUGCGUAACACGUAUGUAUCCUACCUUAAUCAGGGGGAGAGCCUCUCGAAAGAGAGAUUAACACAGCAUAAUAUAUUUUUAUGGCAUCGUAGAAAUAUCAAUUAUUUAUAGGAUUAAGAUGGGCAUGCGGAACAUUAGCUAGUUGGUAAGGUAACGGCUGACCAAGACUACGAUGUUUAGUGGAUCGGAGAGGAUGACACACCAGACGGGAGACGGGACACGGACCAGACUCCUACGGGAGGCAGCAGUAAGGAAUAUUGGGCAAUGGGGGCAAGCUUGAACCAGCCAUGCCGCGUGCAGGAAGACUGCCCUAUGGGUUGUAAACUGCUUUUGUACCGGAAUAACCCCUUUUACGUGUAAGAGGCUGAAUGUACGGUAAGAAUAAGAAUCGGCUAACUCCGUGCCAGCCGCCGCCGUAA